rnacentral:rRNA from 1 species
CAAUAGCGUAUAUUAAAGUUGUUGCAGUUAAAAAGCUCGUAGUUGGAUUUCGGGGCAGUCUGGCUGGUCCGCCGCAAGGCGAGUACUGGUCAGCCGCCCUUCCUCUCGAAAGCCCCGACUGCUCUUUAUUGCAGUGGUCGGGUAGUUCGGGACGUUUACUUUGAAAAAAUUAGAGUGUUCAAGGCAGGCCUACGCCUGAAUACAUUAGCAUGGAAUAAUGGAAGAGGACCUCGGUCCUAUUUUGUUGGUUUCCAGGACCGAAGUAAUGAUUAAGAGGGACAGUUGGGGGCAUUCGUAUUUAAUUGUCAGAGGUGAAAUUCUCGGAUUUAUGAAAGACGAACAACUGCGAAAGCAUUUGCCAAGGAUGUUUUCAUUAA